ensembl:lncRNA
CAGCGUGAUUCCAAGAUGGAUAUAACCGACAUGCUCCUCGAUAAAAUCUUCUGCUGGGUGGAUCUGCAAAAACAGUGUGCUAACAAGAUGGAGAGACUGGCCACUGAGCUGGAAGAUGCUAAAAAGGGUGUCAAUAUCACUCAGAUUGUUGGCAGUAGUGUGUCUACAGGUGGUGCAGCAGCCAUGGUAGUAGCAGGUGUAGCAUCCUUCUUUACAGCAGGGGCAGCGAUACCUGUCAUUGCUGCAGCAGGAGUACUAGCAUCAGGGGUUGGUUUUGCUACUAAUGUAGGUUCUGAGAUUGCUGAUGCUGUCAUAUCAAACAACACCAUGAAAGAGGCAGAAGAGGCUGCAGAGAAGAUUCAGAACCUUGAAGAGGGAAUCCAGAAACUCAUGGCGACACUGAAAGAUGAAGGGCAGAGGAGAGAGCAACAGGCCAGUAACCACAAUGAUCUUGAUCCAGAAGAUUAUGUGGUGGAGCGAAUCCUGAGAGCAAUGGCCAAACGCAACGGACUGAAAAUUAACAGCAAUAUCAGUCUGAUUAACAUGCUGUCUGAUCUGAACAUAGUCAUGACCACUCAUGAGACAGACUUGGCUGGACAACUUCUAAAGAAGUCAGCACUUCUGUUGCCUCUGCUUUCAAAAUUUGUCAUAGAAAAUGUGUCAAAGGCAAUUCUCAAAGAAGCUGCUAAAAAGGCAGGGGAAAAGGCUGUGGCUAAAGGAGCCUCUGGUGUGGCAACUGCUUUGGGAACAAAAGCAACAGCAAAGGCAAUUGGAAAUAUUGGUGGUGGAGCAGUCGGCCUCAUCUUUUCCAUUACUGAGCUGGUUACGAACUGUAAAGAUUUGGCUGAAAACAAAUUUGUAACAGAAGCCAGUCAGAAUCUCAGAUGCACAGCAAAAGACAUACGCAGUGCCUCUGAAAGCUUCACAAAGGAGCUGGAAGACAUCAGGAGGAUGCUAAAUGAAAUGGCUAAAAGAGAAGAGGAGGAGAGACUCGCCAGAAAGAGAGAGUCUCAACUGAAACGCACAGUAACACAUUGGCUGCAAAGCACUAAAGGUGCUCAAGAGAAGAAAGGAAACCAGACGACUUGUUUCUUUAUUGUCAUAUUCCUGGGCAUUUUAUGCUUUUAUAUCAAACCAUCAGUUCACUCUGACCACACUGUCAAUGGAUCACCUGAAAACGAGGGGGUUGAUGAAUCUCAACCAGAUCAAACAAAUGAAGACUGUCAACAAGGUGGACAACCUGAGCAAAGCAAGGACGAUGAAGAGAGAGAAAGUGACCAAAAUGAACAGGGUGGGGGUGAACAACCAGGUGGGGGUGAUCAAGGAGAUGAGGAGAGUGAUAGUGAGGAUGAAGAGAGUGUUGAGAGCGACGAAGACAGUGAAAGUGAGGAAGAGACAGAAGACAAAGAAAGAAAACGUAACAUCAACCAACCUCCCCCAGCAGAGGUGAGGGUGGGGUUGCUCAAUGUUCGUUCAAUUAACAACAAAAGAUCCACAAUCAAUGAGCUCAUAACGCAAAACAACCUGGACCUGUUUCUGCCAACAGAGACGUGGUUACAAAGAGACACUGCAGAUGAAGUCCUUAGUGAAGCAUUACCUCCAAACUUCAACAGCUAUAAUCAGCACAGGGAUGGUAGAAGGGGAGGGGGGGUGGCCAUUCAGUUCUCAUCCGUGCUGCAGGGUGCCCCUCUUUAUUUUAACUACUUAACAACCUUUGAAUGUGUGGGUGCAGUCCUGCAACAUGAGACGUGGGAUGAACCGAUCCUCUUUCUCAACGUGUAUCAUCCACCAGGAUACACCCUGACCAGGUUCAGAGCUUUCCUGGACGAGUUUCAAAUGGUCCUGGAUGAUGUGAGUGAGCAGUACAACAGCAUCAUUGUGACCGGUGACUUCAACAUCUGGGUAGACUUUGAAAAGAGGACCGCGACCGAUGAGUUUGAAUUUUUAUUGCUGAUCAAUAACCUUGUUCAGCAUGUAGGGGAGCCAACACAAAGGUCAGGUCACUUUCUGGACCUGGUCAUCAGCAGAAACGUUGAUAUUCCUCAUCUCGUAGUCCGGGACGAUGGAAUAUCAGAUCAUUACACUGUUUAUUUCAACGUAAAGCCGAAGUCCACUGACACCAAGAAGACGAAGACAGAUGAAGAUGAGAAAAUAAAGAGACUCAAAAGGCAAGAGGAAUAAAUAAAAAACAUUGUAGGAAGAUAUUAACAAGUGAUUAAUAAAGGAAGAAAAACUAACAGAAAAUGACUGGGAUGAAGAUCCCAGAUGGAGUUUUUUUAAUCAUAGUACAGAUUUAGAGGAAUACAGUCUGUUGUUGAAGAGACUUUGUGCAAAAGGUGGGCUCCACCUCCACCGAACAUCUGCAGAGUUCAUUCACAGCUACACUGUUUUGUCAUUACUGCCAAAAGAGACUCAGACAUAUUAAAUCCACAUCUCUUCACUAUGGGAUUUUUUUAAUAGCACUGUCUGAUUAGAUGAUCUCUUUAUGAGGCUGUUCAGAGUAAUGUUAUUAUGAAGCUGUACGUGUGAUACAAGAACAAUUGUAUUAUCUUAUGUGUGCAUUUCAAAUUGUGAAACACUGAAUUAAUUUUAAUAAAUCUUGAUAAACCUGAUAAUUGUACUGGUAAUUCCAGUGUUGCAAAAACAUGUGUUACUAUAAC